rnacentral:lncRNA from 1 species
AGGGCUUUAGUAAAAGGGUUGAUUAGAUUUUCUUCCAUCGAUCUUCUAAAGAUCAACGUCACCUCGAUCCAUAAUAUCUCGGAUAAAAUGAUAGCCGUACAGAAUAUGCUUGGUGCGCUAAUGGGACCUUGACUCCUUGGCUUGAGCAAUGGUUCCAAUAUUAUCACAGUAUUACAAAAUAGGACCGUCAACAGAGGGUGCCACUCCAAGCUUGUCGAUAAACUUCCAUAAUCAUA